GGGAGGCAGCCUCGAUCUGAGGGCCCCGGCGCUGCGGCCACGCCCAUCGCCUCCAGCCCAGCUCGCCCAUUGGCUAACCAGGCUCCGAGAGAUCUGAGCUUCGCUGUCUCCCGGAUCGGACGCUCGCAGCUCCGUUCCCGGGCUGGGGCUCCGUGCCGUCCAGGGCCGGGUCUGGGGGCCAGGACCUGCUGGGAUGACGUGAGUUGAGGAGGCUCAGCGGAAAGCGACAGGAAAGGUGGGUGGAAAAGGAAAGGGCCCAUUAGACGAAUCUGAUUCAUCUUCUGUGACUAAGCACCCGCAACAGGUAGGAAUUUAGGGCAGAGCUGGUGAUUCUGGGACAAUAGCACUUCCUAGGGUAAUUCGUCUUAAAAAGUUAAAGAAGCUGCUUGACCACAAAGUAUGAACUUCUGGAGGGCGGGGCCCGUGGCAGCUGACAGGGAAUAUUGUGUGUUGAGAAAGGAAAUGAGUUCCAAGGAUACCAAGGACAACAUUACCAGAGGCAGAAAUGACACGAGAUACAAAAGAACGUAUUCAAAAAUUUAACAAAACAGAAAUGGAAAAUUAUUUUAAAAUAUAUUGAAAUAUCAACGAAUAACACCUCAAAUGUACAGGGAUAUGUAAAGCAGCAACUCGGGUCGGAAGCAAGGAAUCGAGGCGUUGGGUGUGUUUAAACUUGACGAGGUAGGGAGAAGAGACCCUGGUACAAACUCCUUCAGAAUCGUUGACUCUCGGUCCUUUCUAGUAUAUUUUUUUAGUAGAACAACGUGCAGAUAAGUGUUUAAAAUGCAGAUCUUCCUUAAGGAAACACUUUUAAAGGCAACAGAGGGGAAUUUUUUUUUAAGUUAAAAUGGAAGAAGUUAGUGGGUUUAACAGAUAUGAACAACUGAGUUUCCUUUGGGGGAGAGGCAAUGAAAAGAGCCGGAGUACUUUAGGGAUCACUUUGGAGAGGAUAUUGUAGUGGGGGAAAGGAAGGUUAAAAACUUAGGAAGCAGAGUAGUACCUUUAAAGUCGUCAGUACUUUAUAUACCAUCAACUGGGCUAUGGACAACAGAAGCUGUGCCUGGAAAUAACUCACACUGAAGGUUAACUUGAAUAUAAAUUUAGAACAGAUCUUAAAUACAAAUGAUGAUGUUCAUUAUAAACUGUUAUUCUUCAAAGACUCAUUUAACUGAAGUAACAUUGUAUUUGCAUACCAGAGCACUGGUG
rnacentral:lncRNA from 1 species